rnacentral:rRNA from 1 species
GAUCCUGGCUCAGGACGAACGCUGGCGGCGCGCUUAACACAUGCAAGUCGAGCGAUGAAAUUUCGACAGAUCCCUUCGGGUGAAGAUGAAAUGGAUUAGCGGCGGACGGGUGAGUAACACGUGAGUAACCUGCCUUAGACAUUGGGAUAGCCUCGGGAAACCGGGAUUAAUACCAAAUGAAAUCACAUAUGCACAUGCAUAAAUGAUCAAAGCUCCGGCGGUCUAAGAUGG